UAUCUCGUGUCUAUGUUUCUAGCCUCAACCACAAAGUAUCUCUAUGUCUUCUCUCAUCUUAUUCUACUAUAUAUUGUAUUUGAAUUGUAACAAUCAAGUGAGGACGCGCGAUAAGAAAAAUGGAAAAUAAAUAGGGAUAGCUUUUUCUUUGUGUGCAACCAAGCCGGAUAGUUAAAAGCCUUUACGGAACUUCCUCCAAGCAACUGCCAAGGCAAGUCCCAGUUUUUAAUCAUAUAUUGCUUAUAACUAUUGAAGAACCAAAAUAAUGUUAAUUACAUGCCUUACACUUACCCAAAGUUU